UUUUCUUUAGUAGCAAUACCGAAGGAAGUCUAGCGGCGAACGGGUGCUUAACACGUGGGCAACCUGCCGAGAAGUGGGGGAUAGCUCGCCGAAAGGCGAAUUAAUACCGCAUGUGAUUAGAGUGGACAUCCAUUCAAAAUUAAAGUCGGGGCAACCUGACGCUUUUUGUGGGGCCCGCGGCCUAUCAGCUAGUUGGUGAGGUAACGGCCCACCAAGGCUUUGACGGGUAGCUGGUCUGAGAGGACGACCAGCCACACUGGGACUGAGACACGGCCCAGACACCUACGGGUGGCAGCAGUCGAGAAUUUUUCUCAAUGGGGGAAACCCUGAAGGAGCGACGCCGCGUGGAGGAUGAAGGUCUUCGGAUUGUAAACUCCUGUCAUUGGGGAACAAGUCGCUUACGUUAACUGCGUGAGCGUUGAUAGUACCCGAAGAGGAAGAGACGGCUAACUCUGUGCCAGCAGCCGCGGUAAUACAGAGGUCUCAAGCGUUGUUCGGAUUCAUUGGGCGUAAAGGGUGCGUAGGCGGCGCGGUAAGUCGGGUGUGAAAUCUCGGAGCUUAACUCCGAAACUGCAUUCGAUACUGCCGUGCUUGAGGACUGGAGAGGAGACUGGAAUUUACGGUGUAGCGGUGAAAUGCGUAGAUAUCGUAAGGAAGACCAGUGGCGAAGGCGGGUCUCUGGACAGUUCCUGACGCUGAGGCACGAAGGUCAGGGGAGCAAACGGGAUUAGAUACCCCGGUAGUCCUGACAGUAAACGGUGCACGUUUGGUGUGGGAGGAUUCGACCCCUUCUGCGCCGGAGCUAACGCGUUAAACGUGCCGCCUGGGGAGUACGGUCGCAAGAUUAAAACUC
rnacentral:rRNA from 1 species